rnacentral:lncRNA from 1 species
UGAAUAGUAGCUCAUCAGGUUUGGCUGAAGCAGAUGACUACAGAAGACAUUAGGCAACGGGGAUUUGAGCCUGAAAUAUGAAAUGAAGUGUGCCUCUCUAAUCUUCUUCAAAAAAGCUCCUUUUCUAGAUGUCACAUAGACUACAUUUGUUUGACCUCUCAGUGAAGUAUGUGGCAAGAUACUACAGUUCU